GUUUGUUGUCUUGGAAACUGCUCAGCUAAUCUCCUGAUUCUACUGUUUAAUAAUUUAUAACUAACAACCCCAAAAUUUGUAUUAAACACCAGUGGAUAUCACUUAACAUAAAUUUUGCUACUUCAUUUUCAUUUGUAGUGUGAACUUUAUUCAGUGUUCCAGUGUACUCUUUGAUCUGUUGACAUACGGCUUAUUUCCUUUCUCCUGUGCAUAGUGGACAUUAGGCAGUUUUCACAGGAGGUAUAUACACAGACAUUUGCAGUAAAGUUUGCUGGCUGAGUUAUUGCUAGGAUUGAAGCAAGAGAGUUUUAUUUCCUUCUGCUUUUUGUUUUUGUGUGAAUGCAAUGAAUUAUAAAGAUGCCAAAUUAUAUACAGUGGUGUUGGGUGCAUUUUUUUAGUUAUUUUAGAUCAAAUAUCAUAGGACCAUAGAACAGUUUGGGUUGUAAGGAACCUUGAAAAUCCUGUAGUUUCAACCACCCUGCUGCAGGCACAGACACCUUCCACUAAACCAGGUUGCUCAAAGCCCCGUGCAACCCAGCCUUGAACGUGAGUAUGCUGUCUGUGAUAACAGACAGUUCAUAUAUAAACUAUUUCUUCUCCAUAGAGUGUCUUCAUAAUGGGUGAUUGAACAACCUUGGAAAUAAACCCUUUAUACAUAUUAUAAAAAUAUUAAACAUUGCUAUUGUUAAUAAUACAGGUCACUUUGCCUUUCAGUAUGUGUAGACUUCUUUCCAUGUUUGAAACAAGGAUUGGACUUUGGGGUGACCAUCCUUCACCCUUUGCUGGUACCAAGCAACUAAAAAAGGAGAAUUGUCUGAUUUGAAAGCAAGAGCCAUACAUGCAGGAAGGGAGGAAAAUGAAGAUGCGGCUCAAAGUCAAACAAGAGAAGGAGUGAGUGUUUCCUCUGGGAACUAGGAUAAGAGGAAACUUGGAUAGACUCACCAAAAAGAACGAGAUGCAGAACGGAACAAGGAACUGAGGAACAGAAACCCAUGGGCACCAUAUAUGGAGAAGAUGUGUAACAGGAGGCAGUGUGGCAGGGGAACAAUGUUUUUACCUUCUUUCACGUAGAACCCCAUAGUGACAGAAGCUACAUUCCUAACCUCCUGGGAAGCAAAUACAAAAGAAUAACAGAAGUGUCUCCAUCCUGAUUGUGUUCAAUCAAGACACUCCAAGAGUGAGAUUUGGAGUAUUUAAGGGAUCUACUAAAGUUCAGAAAUGAAACACAGGUUAUCUAGAACAAUGGAUCUUUCCACAGUAAUAGCAAAGCUUGACCAUGUGAGAACAGAAUUUUCUUUGGAAACAGUUCAGCUCUGUCUCAGAAACUACAGAUAAGGAACGAUCCUUGAACCUCUCUCAUCUGAGACAGGCAUUGCUUUCACUGUUGUUUCUAUGACAGCUGAAUGUGAAUGGUGAAUGCAUCUUUGGAAGGCAGAAGGUGAGGUGCAUUGUCUUUUAGUGGUCAAGUCUGAUAGACAUCCUUUUUUAUGUGUUGGUAUUGAGUUUUAUAUAAGAUUUUGCAAAAGUGAAAAUAAGUUUUCCCUAGAGAGAAAGAUAAGAAAUAAAAGAUUAGGAUAUCUCUCCAUACAAUAACUCCUGCUGUGAAAUUCUAGCCCUAUUUGUAAUGCUAGGUUAAUAGUUGGAAUUGAUGAUCUUAAAAAGGUCUAUGAUUCUAAUAAGAGCUUUGCUACCGACUUCAGGAUGAUCACAGUUUUACUCCUAAGGUGCAGUUGUGCUUUUCUAGGAAAGCUAAAGUAUAAAAUACAGCUUCUGCCAGCACACCAUCAAUGCAAUAGGAAGGGAAGAGGAUGACACUGAAUUACAUCCAUAGCCAAUAAUAGCUGCUGUGAGCAUCCUGAUGAUCAGUGUAUUAAUGUUAGUCAUCAGCUUUUUGAGUUUGUAUAAGAUUAUUUUCUUCAAAUCUGAAUGAAGUAGACUCAAGAUGAGUUUGAGUUCUUUAUGGAACUGUAGUUAGUAUUUUUUUUUUAAACUCUUUAAAGAAUGUCAGAUGUGGUAAAGCUUCUUAGAUUUUUAUUAAUAAAGCACACCAUUUAUAACUAACUAAGUUUUGAAGCCCUCCAAGGCACUGUUUAAUUUUUCAGCUCUCUUUUUAUGGUUCUAUCUAGUUCUGUAUUAGCUUCCUAUCAUCAGGUCUUGCCUUUCGUAAAGCAGACAUUCUCAUGCACACAUUUCUGGGACGUACUGUGUACAUCAUGAAAGAAGGAAAAUGACUCUUGAUUGGGAUCCCAGUCUUCACUGACCCACUGCUCAGUGGGUAUUAGAUAGUGUGCUUGGCUAUCAGCAACAUUGCAGAGGGUCUUUGGCCAGUACAUUGCCUACAAGUCAUGGAUUGAAGACUGUUCCUUCAUAUAUUUCAGGCAGAGCUAACAUACUCUUUUUGAUAGGGCUGUUUUGAUGUCAGCUAAGAAAAUAACUCUUUGAUGUGUUUGCAUGAGAAUGAAUCCUGUAGAUAAAAUUAUAUUGCAUAAUAGUUUCCUGCAGCUCCCCAGAUACUUAUUAGAGUAUUCGGAAAUUUAAUUCAGCCUCUCCCUAAGAAUUGAGAUCUCCACUUUGUACUUCUGAUUGCUUCUCUCAGCUCAAUUAAUGACAUGGAAGCACUUGUUCUUUCUCCGAAUAGUGUCUGGGUGCCUCCUGCCAGAGCAAUGGAGAUCACCUUCUGCUGAGCUUAUAGAUAUAUGCAGGAAUAGAGCCAUAAUGGGUGCUUCAGCGCACUGUGUAAUAUCCUCUUCCAAAUUAAGGAAGCUCUGAGACCAGUCAGUUUUUCCCUGCCUGUAUUUGAUUGCACACUUAAAAUCAGCUGACUCUCAGAUCAAGUGGUGCCUUGUAGCUUUAAGCUCAGCAGUGGCUGUUGUCUGUGUUAGGGAAUUUUUCUGUCACUAUAAAAGGCAAAACAAGACUAAAGAUACUAAAGAUGGCCCUGGAAUUUUUUUGCAGUGAUGCUCCCUGAGAAACUUGAAAUUUCUUGAUUGCAAAUAGGAAAACUCUUGAAGUUUCCUACUUGGUAGUACACGGUAGAGAGAACUUGAGAAGGGAAGAAAAGGGUUUCAUUGAAUACUUUCCAAAAAUAAAGUGAAAAAAAAUUAUGUAUAUCAAAUCAGAAGGAAAUAGAAUAGUAGGGUGCGGUGACAAAGUCCUCUUACAAUCUGAUAGUACUCAAGACUUGGCAAAGUUCUGCAUUGUGGUGUUAGAUGUCAACAUCCUGAGAUAUUCAGCUUGGCACAGCGAGACCACUUCAUUGCCUCAUUUCAUGUUAGUGUGUUUCAGGCUAUGUGCUGAAUAUUUCCAGUACUUGGCUUUUUAUACUAUGUGCAAUAGAUUAAAUUUUCCUAUUUUGACAGGGAAUAUCUUUAGCAGGAUGCCUUGAAAUGCCUUAGGGAUUCAAGCUGUCCCUUAAUCAAUGCUGCAGAGGAUGCAGUUUUGAUUUUUUUCCUCUAAUAUAUGAACUAUGACACUAGAUUCAUCCUGGCAUACAUCUGCCAGAGCAGACUGAAGGCAUUCAGUUAGAGACACUUCAUGACCAGCAUAGGGCCAACAAAUAGGAGGCAAUCUAAAAAGGGGGGAUUGAAAUAUAAUAUAGAUGGGAAAUAUAAGAUAUCUCAAAAUAAGGUCAUAAUGGAGGACAUAAAUUGCACAUCUAUGCAGACAGCAACAGGACAUCCUCAAAAUAUCCUACACUAUCUGCAUACUGAUACUGACUUUUACAAAUAUGUAACAGGUAUGGAUUGUUUCUGAAAAGAACAGCUAUGGGUCAAGAUGUAACAUAACAGAGAAAACAACUCUGCGAAUAUAAAUAUUUAUUAUUAGUGGAGAGAAACUGCUUCCUACUAAAAUUGACAAGAAUGAUGAA